rnacentral:lncRNA from 1 species
CUAAAGCCAAUCUUUGCUUCUUCUUUUUUGAAUAUUACCUUUGCAUUCUUACUUAUUAAAAAUGAUAAAUAAUAAUGAUUUGGUUGUGAGUACUGUAAUUUGUUUGUUAGUUUUCAUAUAUUUUGAAUUAAGAGGACGUAAAAUGUAAUUAGUAUCUCUAGAAAUUAUAAAGAAUUACAAAUGUGUUUGAUUAACAGAUUGAAAAUUACAAUAUAAUUUUUUAAGCGCCUAAGAACCUCACUGUUCGAUCACAAGCUUUUAAAAGAUGCUACCAAAGAAGAAGAGGAUGUCAAAGUUGACAGGAAGAGGAAUGUGGUCGAUGUUAUUGGAACGCCGCGUUUUUAUCGAGAUACUCAUUACCAAAAUCGUAGAUGAGAGUCUCCGGCCGACUGUUGAAGAAACUGUAAGAAAGAGUAGACAGGCAAAAAUCUAUGCCUCUCGUUUUGUUUUGAAGCAAUCGUUACUAUUCACUUAUGGAAACCUACAUUCAACAGAAAGCUAACUAUUAUUUUAUAUUUGAUCUUUUGUCUUUUGUCUAAAAUAGAUAGACAAUUUCAUAAUUUGACUAUUAUGUAUAUAAAAGAAUACAUAUUCAUAUAUGCAUACUCCAGGUUUCAAGUAAGAGUGUUGUUUUAUCUCUUGAUGGGGGUGUUUUAGUUUAUAAGUUUAUUUUGCUUCCCUGUGUUGCCAUUGUUGGCCUUGAUCCUUUCUUUUGAAGUUUAGCUGUAAUGUCAUACUUUUUUUCCAUACACGCAGUGGGAAACAGGGGAAAAAGAAAUCCUUUCUUUUGGGGGGUUGUGGUCUGAAUUUUUCGAGGUUUUUAUUUAUUUUUAAUAUAUAGUUUGAUUUCGGAUCAAUUGUUGGUUUUCUUCAUAUUAAUGGAUAAACAGCAAUUGAGUUAUUUUUUAGUAUUUGAAGUGAAGUAAGAAUGUUCUUUUAGUAUUCUUGCUGAAUCACUGUCUAAUUUUUGAGAUUUUACUACUGGGUUUUUGGUUUGAUUUCCCUAUCUUACUGCAAUCCUUAGAAACCGGGUUUUUUCUCUUUGUUUAUUGGAACAACUUGUAAACUUUAGAGUUGAAAUCUUGUCCCAUUUAAAAAUGAGAUGGGGUGGUGGUUGGAAGCAGGGAACAAAGAAAGAAGAACAAGAACGGUGGAAGUAGGGGUGGGGUGGAGGGGAAGAAGAUGAUGAUAGUGGUGGGUCAAAAAAGGGUCAAAAAUAUGAUGAGGCGUGCCUUAGAGAUUUAACGGUUUGCGCGACUAAAAUGAAUUUUUUCUCUCCUGACUACCUGACUAAAUUGUAGACUAAAUUGUAGGUAUUUUUAUUUAAACGACGAAAAUGAAAAUAUUAAAAAAAAUUUAGAUCAUCAACUAGGUAACUUACCUUUUAAAGUUUUAAAACAUGAUAUUUACUAUAAAAAUAUUAAUAAUACUUGUAAAAAAAAUUUCUAAAUAAAUAAUAAAAUUAAAAUUAAAUAAUCAUAUGUUAAUCUAUGAAAAUAGUCGAUAAUGCAUUUGCAACUAACAAUAAUAAUAAAAAAAUAUCAUAUGUAAUUUUAUCUUAUUGCUCUACCAUUCUACAUUUAGUGGGUUAUUCCCUCGUUGACAUUUAACAUUUACUCAUUAAUCUAUUAGACCUUGCCUAAGAGCAAAGUCAUAAAAUAUUUUUUUUGGGUCAGAAUUAAGUUGUAUAUUUUUACAAUAGCAAAAAUACAAUUUCAUAAUUUUAAUAGCCUAUAUUUUUAUAAUCUUUAAAUGACUAAAUCAAUUUUUUCAUUUGAGGGUAAAAUGCACUUUUACCAUAUACUAAUUUAAAUUUUUAUAAGUUGUAAAUGGGCUAAAAGGAAUUUUUUUUCAUUUUAAGAGGACCGAGGCCCCUGUCAACCCCCUAGUUCUGCCCUUAUGUUUGGCCAAUUUUUUUUCAUCGUCUCAUUCGAAAUAUGAAUGUAUAUAGAUUACCAUGAACUUCUUAUAUGUACUCUUCAAAGCUUGGAUCAUCCUAGUUCCAUCUAUUAAUGAAGUUAUGAAAUAUGUAACAUGCUAUCUGAUAUUGAUUUUUUAUACUAUAUUGAGAUGAUAUUGUUAAUAUGAUAAUUUUUUUUAAUAACAAAUGUCAUUUUAAUCACAUUUUGAAUAUUCGAAUGUCUUGGGAUUAAAGAGUUUGCAAACUGGUUUUAGUGAUUGUGUGUAGCUCCAUUCUUUCACAUGGUAUUGUAUCCUAUUACAUGAUACAAGAGAACUUUGUGUACUACAUAAUCAAAAUUUUGAAUUAUCAUAUGUUUUUUUUUAACUUAUUUAGGGUUUUCUACCAAAUAACAUUUUUCAAGUAAACUAAUUUCGUAUUUAUUCAAUUGUAAUAAUUUAUAUAAACCUAAUUUGCUCCUAACUUAUUUUAAGGUGUCAGUGUAAUGACCUAAAAAUUUACGAGCACCGAAAAAGUGAGUUAUAGGGCCUCCAUCUUAGUAAACCGAGUUCAUAAAUAUUGAUUAGAAAUAUUUGCGAGUCUAGUUGUGUGUUUAAUUAGGCUUUAACUAAGUGAAUUUAGCUUAAUUAAGAAUAAUUAGGAAAAAUGACUAAAUUGAAUAAAGAGAAAAAGUUGAAUUAUAUAUUAAAAGAAUUGAAUAAAGAGAAAAAGUUGAAUUAUAUAUUAAAAGAAAAUAUAAAUGACCAAAAUGACAAUUAUGCCAUUUGUCCUAAUUGAGGCGGUAAAUGAAUUGAAAAAUCUAAGAUUUUAUAUUAUUAUAUUAUGAAGUAAAUUAAAAUAAAAACAAAUGUAUGGUAAUAAAAAUAUACAUGUGUAAUAAUUAUAUUUGUACAAUUGUAAUAUAUUUAUUUAAUUAAUUUUUAUUUAAGUAAAUAGAUUUUUAUUAUAUUAAAAUAUUAAAUUAUAUAAAAUAAAUAAAAUAAGAACAAUUGGCUGGUGAUGAUAAUAGACAAGUGUAAAAUAUAUGUGUGUACAAAUGUAACAUCAAUAUUAGUUAUUAAAUAGAUAUUUAUUAUAAAAAUUAUUAUUAUUAUUAUAAAAAGGGAAAGAAAAGAAAAAGGGGGAAAUUGGACCUUAAAUUUGUAAUUCAAUUUAGUUCUUUUUACUUAAUUUUGAUGUUUUAGAAGCUUUAGAACAAUGUUUUAUUGAAAUUAAGUUGAAGUUUUGGAAGUUUUCAGGUUUUUGAACAUAGUUCACGUUGAACAAAAUAAUGAAUUAGGGAUUUGAUUGAAUGAAUUUUAAGUUAGAAUUGAUUAAAGGAUUAAAUUGUAAACUAGGCUAUAAGUUCUGUGUUGUAGGGAUUAAAUUGAAAGAAGUUUUAAAUUAGGGUUUUAUUAUGAACAUUAUAUAGUUAUGUAGAAUAUGGAAGGAAAUUGAAUAGAAAUAAAGUAUGAAUUGAGUUAGAAAAGUAAAUGAGUUAAUUAGGAUUAAAUUGGAAUUAGGGUAUAAAUUAGAUAGAAAUUUAGUUAUUAUUAUUAAUUAGUGCUGUAAUUAAUAGUGUAAAUUAUUAUUAUUUUCAUAACUAACAAAUAACCCGAGGCAUUGACACAAAAAGUAAAGGAGAAAGUUAUCGAGGAGUAAUCGCGAAAUCCGGGUUUGUAUUACUAUAAUUCAAGUUAUUUUUAUUAAAUGUUAAAUUUUUAACUAUAUGUACGGUAAGUAAAUUAUGAGGUAAGCAAUAUUAUGAAAUUGAAAAGGAAAUUGAUUUGAUGAUGGAUAAGUAUUGAUAUAGAAUUGAAUAUUGAUGAAAAGUGAAAUUGAAUUGAUUCGUAAAUGAAUUGAAAAUAAUAUUGAAUUGAGAAAGUGAAUCGAAUACCUUAUUAACUAGUCGGGCUGAGUUGGAUAUAGUUGGCAUGGCCAUAGGAUUGGAAGAGUUCAAGGAUACUUCGACCUCGAGUCGAUGAGACACUGGGUGUCACUAUAUUACUUCGAAUAGAUUAGAUGAGAUACUGGGUACCAACUUAUUUCGGCUUGGCCAAUGAGAUACAGGCCAUCAAUUAUUUACUUCGAACUAUCCAAUGAGGCACUGGGUGCCAUAUUGGAGUGUUUGGUUAGAUUCGUGUAUCCGUCAAAGUCCGAGUCUGUUAAUAAGGGUAAUUAAAGGAAAGGUUAAAUUGAAUAAAAUGAAUUGGUUGAGCCAUUAAAAGAAAUGUGAAAAUGGAACGCGAAUAAAAAAAAAUGUGAUUUGAAUGUGAGUAUGAGAAUGGAAAGCAUGAACCAAUGGUUCAUGAGAUGGAUAAUGGCUCAACAUGAAUGUAUAUGAUUUCAAUUGUUGAUUAGCUAAAUUAAAUUGUAUGAAUAUAUAGAGAAUGACAAAUUUAUGUUUGAAUUAGUUUAGUAAAAAAUGUAUAUAUAAAUAAAUAAAGUUAUAUGAUUUAAUGAUAUGGUUAUUAUGCUUAUAAUUUGAAUUAUGGUAAUAUCACUGAAUAUAAAAUACUCAGCGUACGGUUGUUUUAUUGCGCAGGUUAAUAGGUAUUCAGAGUCUCAGUUCAGCAUCUAGGCGAUCCCGACUCCAAGGCAAAUCUCGG